AGAGAUCAAGUUAUAUUUAUAAGGUAAAAAGGCAGUUAAAUAUUUUACUAAAAGCUUAUUGAUUUUUUAUAUAAAGGUAAAAUUUAAAUAUAAAUUAAUAAUAUUGUCUAAGCUAUUAAUAUUGAAUCUGCGACAACCUAGAGGGAAACUGGGAUUAGAUACCCCAUUAUUCUUGGAUUUAAAUAAAUGUAAAUUUACCAGAGUACUAUGAAUCAUAUUAAAAAUUUAAAACUCAAAGAGCUUGGCGGUGUUUUAGACCUCUCAGGGGAACCUGUCUCUUAAUCGACAAUCCACGUUAAACCUAACCCUUUUUAGCAUCACAGUUUGUAUACCAUCGUCGUCAGGUAACUUUUAAAAAUUUAGAAGUUGGCAACUAAAUACUAUAAAUUUAAACGUCAGAUCAAGGUGCAGCCUAUAUAAGGGUGAGGAUGGGUUACAAUUAAUAAUUAUAAAUACGGAUAUGAUAAUGAAAUACGUGUUAUAAUGAAGGAGGACUUGAAAGUAAGAAUAA
rnacentral:rRNA from 1 species